AGGCCUUUCAGCUUUAUGACUGCAGAGUGGUAUGCUACCAAAGAAGCAAUGAGAAGAGACUAUGGAAACCAGGUAUGCUAAUUACUGGUGGGUACCAAUUGCUGGUCCCCAUCUUGGAGGUAUUUUAGGAGCACUUUUUUAUGUAUUCUUUGUGGAAAUGCAUCACAACAAGAGUUAAUAGGAUCAUUAAAGGUCCACACGCUACAAACAGCAGUAGAUUUGGCUCCUGAUUUGAAAAUACACCAGCAUAAUUUUGUGUGUGCACCUGCACUUGUGAAUACACAAAUGACAAAUUUUGUGAGAAGUCAAUCAAAGAGCAUAUACUGCAGCACUGAAUCUCACAGAAAGUGUUCAACUACUCAGGAAUAUAUUUAUAUACUACUGAAAUCUUAUUUCAUAUAAUAUAACUAGCCAAUAGAAUGAAAUGUACAACUUCUAAGACAGGUUAUAUAUGCAAACUUCUUCUGAGAAUUUUGCUUAUGAACUAAUAGGAAAUAUUAGACAUUUCAAAUAUUUAAUGAUUUUAAUGUUACA